rnacentral:snoRNA from 1 species
UUUUCUGAUCAACCUGCCAUUGAAGCUCUUUAUUGGCUAAACACACCUGAUCCAGGUGAUCAGCAGCAGAUGAGGCAGGAUUUCUGAAAAACUAGCAGGAGGUCCGCCCUCCAGGCCUGGAGUUUGACACCCCUGCUCUAAAA